AUAAAUAAACUUUUUACAUCAAUUUAAAUUUAAAGGGAAAUCAAGAUCACCAGCUUGAAAUGCUGUGUAUGUGUGUUAAGCUUAAUUUAUGUAAAGAAAUACAACGAACCUUAUACAUGUAUAGUUCUUUGACAGGAAGUAAACAAAUACUGCUUGGUAACAACAGGAACGCAGUGAACGGUGAUUUUUUUGUCAAGAAAAAGGAAUGAUUCAUGGCAAGAUGUAUUUUCAAUGAUUGUGCGUAGUAUACAAGCAAUAUCAGUUAAUUUAAACUAUGAGUUACAGACAUAGUACUUAUGAUAUCGAAGCUAAAAUAAAAUACCGCUUUUUGGGUUCCUAUUUUUCUAUAAUUAGUUAAAAGUUAAAAUUAGCUUCAAUAUUUUUUUCUUCAAAGAAUGGAUUUUAAUGUUCGUAUUGAAAACACAGGAAACAGUCUGUUGAAUGUAAUUAUGUAAUAACCCCACAGCGCAUUUUUUACAAAUAAGAUAUUACAGUUACAGGAGUAAUGGACUAUGUAAGUUUCACAUUGUGCAUUGAUCCACGUAUAUACAACAUUUCAAAAUCCCAACAUCUAAAAAUAUACCAUCACACAUUUUGGACGCAAAGGUUUUCUGAUAGUGCAUAAGUGAGGGAUCCAGCGUGACCUAAACCAUGUAGCUCGGUACUUUCAGUGAGAAAAGGUGUAGUCUAUGUUACAGGAGUUUGGUUUAGCUUUUAACAAGAGUGUAUCAAAGUGUAUUGCAUCAUUAGGUUAUGUCUGGCAAAAGGGAAAUUGUACCCAACGUAGAAGGUUGUGUUUCUUCUCGGUGAAGAAGGUGGUUGAUAAAAACUUGGAAUAAAUGCAUCUGGAUAUGGCAAGGUUUCGGAAUAGACAACAUUGAGGUUAAGAACAAAAUCGCCUGAGCGAAAAGGAAAAAUGAAUAAGAAUACCAAUGCCAAGAAAAGCUGUUCCGAGGAAAAUAUAAAAAAAAAUCACAUAUUCCACAUGCGUCGUACAUUGUAUCCUCUUUCAAGCAAAACUACAACGACUUCGACAACGACUGCGACAAUAAAGAAUGGUUAAAUACGACUACCACAACCUCUAUAACUAAGAGCGCAUCUACGACUGUGACUUUAACUAUAGUCUAGAGACUAGAACCAUUUCCACCACUACAAAUUAAGAAGCGUUUCCACCGGCAACAAGUACGGCAGAGAUUCCAGCAACAACCACGACUACGACUUCAAAAACUGUACCGGUGCAACUUGAAAUUUUGAUUUACGUUGAAAAUUGACACCUCCACUUUAUUUAAUGAUCCACCCACGCGUGAAAAAAUGAUCCCAUUAAAAACUGAUCAACUAUAGACAUGCCAUUCUUAAACAUUGAUAAGUGAUCAAAAUGAUAUUGCCAAACAUGCCUACAUGUCUAUAUAUGGUCUUACCCAUGAAACAGUAAUAUUUCCGUAUCCCUUUCAGAUUUCUAAGUUAUGAAUAUUUUAUUCAUAUUCAAGUGCACCAGGAGCUAAUAUCUAUCAGCAAUAACUGAUAUUGGACAGCCAUAUGGUACGAAUGAAUACUUGAUUAAGGAUUUAGAACAACCAUGUUAUAUUUCAACCCCUAUCUUAGUCACUGAUCAGG